rnacentral:rRNA from 1 species
AUACGGAGGAUCCGAGCGUUAUCCGGAUUUAUUGGGUUUAAAGGGUGCGCAGGCGGGAGAUUAAGUCGGCGGUGAAAUUUUGCAGCUCAACUGUAAAAGUGCCUUCGAAACUGGUUUCCUUGAGUGUAGAUGAAGUAGGCGGAAUUUUUGGUGUAGCGGUGAAAUGCAUAGAUAUCACGAGGAACUCCGAUUGCGCAGGCAGCUUACUAAACUACUACUGACGCUCAGGCACGAAGGCGUGGGGAUCAAACAGGAUUAGAUACCCUGGUAGUCCACGCAGUAAACGAUGAUUACUAGCUGUUUGCGAUACAAUGUAAGCGGCUGAGCGAAAGCGUUAAGUAAUCCACCUGGGGAGUACGUUCGCAAGAAUGAAACUCAAAUGAAUUGACGGGG